GACGAACGCUGGCGGCGUGCCUAAUACAUGCAAGUAGAACGCUGAAGAGAGGAGCUUGCUCUUCUUGGAUGAGUUGCGAACGGGUGAGUAACGCGUAGGUAACCUGCCUUGUAGCGGGGGAUAACUAUUGGAAACGAUAGCUAAUACCGCAUAACAAUGGAUGACACAUGUCAUUUAUUUGAAAGGGGCAAUUGUUCCACUACAAGAUGGACCUGCGUUGUAUUAGCUAGUAGGUGAGGUAAUGGCUCACCUAGGCGACGAUACAUAGCCGGCCUGAGAGGGUGAUCGGCCACACUGGGACUGAGACACGGCCCAGACUCCUACGGGAGGCAGCAGUAGGGAAUCUUCGGCAAUGGGGGCAACGCUGACCGAGCAACGCCGCGUGAGUGAAGAAGGGUUUCGGAUCGUAAAGCUCUGUUGUAAGUCAAGAACGGGUGUGAGAGUGGAAAGUUCACACUGUGACGGUAGCUUACCAGAAAGAGACGGCUAACUACGUG
rnacentral:rRNA from 1 species